rnacentral:lncRNA from 1 species
AGAGAGAGAGAGGAGGGUAGGAGGUAUUUCAUUGGAUUCACAUUCACAACCAUGUGUAUGAGGGCUUAGAGUAGAUGGUUGUGGCAAUGAUGGAAUUGCCUGGUGGAAGAGAGCAAGAUUAGAGUUGGGGAAGGACUGAGAGAGUGUAUGUAAUAAUUUGGAACAAUUUGAUUGUUUGGUCAAAUGAUCCACUCAUUUAAUGCUUUUAAAUGAGAGUAUAAGUAAAAAGAGUCUCAGGUUUUUCUUACCCCCCUACUGUAAUCUUACAGCUACUCAGAUUAAAAAAAAGAUGGAUGAUACACUACUUUCAAUCCCCUCCACCGAAGGACAUGUAAUUUCAGAUUUACUAUAAAAAAAUAUCAAAAAUGUACCAUAGUAAAACUCUAAUAUUAAACCAGUGCUAUUUGUUAUUUUCUUUUUCAUAUUUCAGAGGAAACAAUUCUUGGAUGUUGCUAUGCCUCUUGCUUAGUCACACCUCUUUCAUAUCAUAGCUCUUGUUUGAAAACCUGCACCUUUUGCAAGUGCAAUAGGAUUCCCUAUGCUCCAACUUGAUGCUAUUUAAGGCCAGCACUUGAAAACAAAGGAUAUGACUUAUAGAACUUUCUAUCAAGUUUCAGUCAAUGUUUUAAGACCCGAUCGAUUCGACUCGCUUGACCUAUGACCUAUGAGCAUACGCGGGCUGGGUUAAAUCCCAAACCCAGAUUUUUUCAAAAACCUAGGCAACUUGUUGAUUUAGGCUAUUUACUGGUUCUACCUGCUCGGAUCAACCCAGUAUCCAACACGUCCAUGUGUCUAGUAGACACUCGAGGACAAUAGAGGGGCCAUGGCAGAUGGAAUAGGGGUCGGCGUAUUUGACCCAUUUGUGUAGCUUGGAGUUGCUUGAUGAUGUUUGAGAGGCCAGGGGAGCUGUGAUAGAUGUCGAUGUCAAGGUUGUUGUCAUAGUGGAAUUGGGAGCGAAGGGUCUUGGAGGUGACGGUGACGGUGUUGCCAAUGAUGAGGUUGAGGAGCAUGAAAAGGACGGUCUGUGAGAACUCGUUAUAGACAAAGGACCACAUCAACAACCACAAUUUUUCAUUGUUGCUUCAUAUGUUCUUUACAUCAGUGGUGCAAUUGGAGUGGAAGGAAAGAUUUAGAGAAAUGAAGAAGAGACGAAGAGAUUGGAGGGCAGGGGGUAAUUAUUAAGGGGGCAGCCAAGUAACUUCAACUCAUGGAGGGAGGGAGGGAGGGAGGGAGGGGGGAGCAUGUGGUUCACAUAGGGAUGAGGGCAAAAGAGGAAGGAAUGGUGUGGGUGGUGCAUGACUACAAGAAUGAGAUCUUUGUUUAAUAUGAUACACAUACACAUACAUAUGUGCACAUAUACAUACGUAUUAUAUAUAUACAUAUGUAUAUACAUACAUACAUAUGCAUGUAUGAAUAACUUUUUUGGUGAUAUCCUUUUAACUAAGGCAGCCAUAGGAACUGGGAUAAAUAAUACACAUUCAAUGGUAUUAUUAUAUAUAUUUCAUAUUUUCCAUAUUUUUUAUUUUUGAAUUUUUGAUAUUUAUUUAAUUUAUUUUUGUAUGAUGUCAUGAUCUAAUGGGUCAACCUUGAUCAACUUGCUGGCCAGCGGCUUGAACACUAAAAUGGGAUGAUGUCUAGGCCAGGUUUCAAAAUAUUGGUUUCAGCUCGUUCAUCUGUUUCUAUUACUUAAAGGGAAAACCAAAAAAGAGUCCAAGUCAAAACCUCUAAGAACCAUGAUACUAUAAUCUUACUUGACCUCAAAUCU